rnacentral:lncRNA from 1 species
AAAAUUAAGAUGUGACAACAAGAUAUGGGGUCUUUCUUACCUCCUGGCUGGCUUGUCAAGAAAUAUUACUGAAUGGAGGGUCUUGUGGAGCUUCUUUCCAGGUGUCCCAAAACAAGAAUUGGAAAAGACACACAGAAAAGUCAGUGAAAGUGUACAUUUAUUGAAGGCAGAAAAGAAGUAUGCUCUGCAGAGAGAGAAUGGACCAGUGAAAAGGCUCACAGCAUCUCCAAGGCAAUAGAAAAGAGAUCUGUAGGCCGAAUCACCCUGCUGCAGACAGGCAGGUCUGCCCACACCCUACCGAGGUCCUAAGUCACGCAGAGGACGCCGAGUCAGCCCGCUGCAGACAGGCAGCCACCUGGUUCCACACUACAAAGACGCAGAGGACACCAGACCACCAGACCAAGGUACUGAGUCCCGCUUCUCCUGGCCCAAAGGCAGGGGCUUCUGAGCCACUGUCCCACUGCUCCUGGUCCAGAGGAAGGGGCUUCCCGGUCACCAUCCCUCCCACUGCUCCCAGCCCAGAGGAAAGGGCUUUUGGGCCACCUUCUGUCCCGCUGUUCCUGGCCCA